GAGAUACGAAGCUUAGCAGAUAAAAUCAGCUUGCAAGUUCCAGAUUUAGAUGAUAUUAUGGAAAAAUUGAACAGUGCCGGUUAUAUUGUACAUAAAGGACAAAACAUAUACCAGAUAUUGACCUCAUCAUGUUCACGGACCCAGCCAACAAGAUCAAGAUGAUGUAGGGAGGAUGCGUUUUGCAACUCAUAUGGACCGUUAUGUACAGUAUAGUCAUGUGAUGGUCUAAUUUAAUGUGCGGAUAGCUCUGAUAAUGCUGUUUAUCGUAGCAGCUGUAGCUGAUAGUGACAAAAAUAGUAUCCUUCCUAGUUCCAGCAUGUUAAAGAAACAUCCUGUUCUCGUUAAAGAAUCGUCUAUGUCCUGGACAUUGGUGAUCAUGAAUGCUGAUUCUUUAUGUGAAAGAAACAUAGUGGUUUUUUUUUGCG